UUUUUUUUACUUUAUAUUUGUUUAUUUAAAAGUAAUGUCGAUUUACUAGAGAUGAUUUGGAAAUGAAAAAAGUUAAAUCACCUAUAAUCUUAACCACAUGAAACUCUGAAAUAUUGGAUUAUCCUGUCUCUAGAACUAUGUGUACUCAAAGGAAAGUAGCUCUAAACAGGAAUAGGAAGCUCUUAUGUUUAGAAGAGUUGUGAGUAUAUGAAAGAUACUUUGGCUUAGUGCAGACUUAAAUAAACUGAGACAUUUCAUCUAGGGGGAAAAAAAGAGAAAGUAGCUCUCUAUCUUCUAAAUCUUAUAUGAUUGGCUAGGAUUUAGAGAUGAGCAAUAAUUUAUCUUAAAAGUUCAUGAUGAAGCUGAAAAUAUAAGACCUGCAUUCUUGUUCAUUAUGUGCAGUGUCUCAGACUUUUGUAUUUGUGGGUUUUCAUCAGUUUUCUGCUUGGAAAACUCGGAAAUGCUACAGACUGCAUCUGUCAUUAGAUUUUAGCAAUUUCAAUCUGUCUCCUUAUACUUAAGUAACCAGAUUUGUAAGGCAACACUUUCAUGCUCAAGCAAAGAGUCCUCUUUUCUAACUUAAUAUUCAUGUGUCUCCUCCAUUCACAUUUACAUUCUACCUAUUGCUAAGCUGGAAGGCUAUUAAGCAUUGCUGUUAAGCACUCACUGCUCAUUAAACAGAAAAUUGAAUUUCAACAUCAAAUUAUAAAUUAGAAGGAAUUACACAAUUUAAAAAUCACUCAGAUGUUGGUGGAAGUUUAACUUUUGGAGUCGGUGUUAUAUAACUCCUAAAGUGACUCUUUGUGUAUUUAUUUUUUAAGAAAUCUAUUAAUGUUAGAUUUGGAUGACUUGUGGGCAGCAGUGCCAUCUGCAGGCCUCCUCUGAGGCAGCUCUUUUUAGUCUCUGGUGUUUGGCUCCACUGAAUAUUUAUGGCUUCAUAAUGUCAAAUACAAAGUGGUAUUAAUAUAGAUUUAAGAAGGGUGAAGUUACAGGUAUAGAUCCUCAUUUAAACCAUUGAGUUACUAUCAACUUCAUAUCCACAUUUAUAAUUCAGAUAUUAAACACAACAUGUUAACAUGAAGAAUAUAUAUGGAAUGAGCACGGAUAUUGGAAUCAUGCAGAACUGGGUUCUAAUUGCAUCCAUAUCACUUAGCAGCUGUGUGACAUUAAAAAAUUUACUUCUCUGAGAUGCAGUUUUUUAAUAUGAGUAGGGAUUAUACUUCCUUCAUGGCAUAUUUGAGAGCUCAAAAUAGAUAAAGUGUAUAAAAUGCCUAGUACAGAAUGUGCGUACAGUGUGCCCCUAAUUGAUAGUAGUUCCCUUUCCCUUAAAAUUAAAACCAAAAUAUCAAGACCAUUUAUUGCCUUUGUACCCAGUGAGUUUAAGAGUUAUAAAAUAUAUCAUUGCCUUUUUGGAGAAAGUGGGGUUUGAAGGAACUGUCUUCCUGGGAUAUUUAUUAUCCAUCCUGUCCUCUAUGUCUUUUCAUUUUUACCUCUUCAAAAAUUUAAAUGUAGAUGUUUAUGUUGGUGGCUGCAUAGAGUAUUUCUGCAAAGUAUUUACAAGAAAUUGAUAAAUACCAGUUGCUGAAUUUUGGGGCUAUGAAGGAGCCUUGUUGUUUUAAUGUGUAUAUCCUUGGAGCUGUUUUAAUUUCUGUCAUGUACAACAUUAGUUUUUCCGCAAUAAAGCACUAAUAUUUCCUUUUUUAGGAAAGGAAAAUAACUGAGAUUAUCCUUAUAUAAAAAAUGAGUAAUUCCUUCUCUUCACUCCACCCCCCAAAAUCUUUGCUUCUAAAUGAAAGCAAACAUCAGAUUUUGGAUAAACUUGCUCUGAAAUCAUAAUAUAUAUUUUCAAGAGAACCUGUAUACAGUUUUCUUCAGAAUUGAUAAGAAUUUAAUAAACUGCCUAAGAUUUGUCCUCUGAGGAAGCAGAAGCUGACAUUAUUCAACAGCUGGCUGCAAUUAUACAAUUGUGUUGUGCUAGUAUACAACAGCUGGCUACUAUAGUAGAAUGUGACUUCCAUGGUCACUCAUGGACAUGCCCAGAAUGACACACUAGUUGAAUCACAUGGUGUGUGUUUCCGGCUGAGGCUGAGCAAAGGAGAGGCUCCACCUUCCUGUUUCAGCUCUCAUGCUGUAAACAGGUAUCCUUUUGCAGUCUUUGUAGUGCCAUGUUUUUCUCACUUUCAUGCUUCCUGUAGGUGAUUUCACUGUUUAAAAUGAGUGCUGCAAUGCUGCCUUUUGUUCCUAAAUAUGAGAAGGUGGUGAUGUGCCUGUUGAGUAAAUACAUGUGUUAGGUAAGCACCAUUCAGGCCUGAGUUACAGUGCUGAUGGGUGAAAGUUAAAUGUGAAUGAAUCGCCAAUAUAUAUUAAAUAAUGUGUUUAUACAGAAGCAUAUGUAAAACAACGUUAUAUGUUGACCAGUUAAUGAAAAUAUUCUGACCAAAGGCUCAAAGGAACCUAACCCUCCAAUUCCCCUAGGAGCAAAGGUUCAGGAUUUGCUAUUUCAAUGUUUGUGGAUGACUUUAUAGAAACGUCACUUUAAAUAAUGAGCAUCAAUUAUAUUGCCAUAUAUUUACAAAACAGUGGAGGUGUCAUGACUGAUAUUGUCCCCCAUACAUUUUUGUAUUUUCCAGAUUUAUUCUCAUGAAGAAUUUUAUUCAUUAUUUUAUUUAUUUUCUACUAAUUUUAUUGCAAAGAAAAUUUUUCAAAAGAUGCGUAUUCUUAGCAAUAGUGUGGUAUGAGUAAAACACACUGAUUUAGCAGUCAGAUAUGGAUUUAAGUUAUUGCCCUGCCAUUUAGAGCUAUGUAACUUUGGGAAAGUUGUUUUAACUUUUCACUGCCUAUAUCCAUCUAUAAGACAGAGAUAAUAUUUUGUAUGUUGGGAAGUUACUCUGAGAAUUAGAAACAGUGUGUCUUAAUUGACUAGCUCAAUAUCUGGUACAAGAUGGAACUCAAAAAAAAAAAAAAAAAGUAACUAUUAAUAUGAACUCCUAGGACUAAAUCACAGAAGCCCAAACCUCAGGCUCUCAGGUCUUUGGAAAAAAAUCAUGAUUUUCCUCCCAGUUAUCCCCAAACAUAAAUUUUGUAGAUUCAGUGCUUCAGCUUCUCUAUACAUAUUUUUGUUCUAGCAACUUUUGAGUAUCCACAAUAUGCAGGGACUCUUCUAGUGGUGAAUAAAACAAACAAGUUUCCUGCCCUCUGGUGUGUUAAAUCCUGUGACUUAGGCCUUGGUAGAAGAAUUAUAAUGACUUUGACCUCCACUUAUAUAUCCCAUCAAAUACCCAGAUGAGGGGACUGGGACAGUUAAUCCUCAAAUACAGCAUAUUCUGGAAAGUGCAUCAUUUUUAAUCAAAUCCAUCAGAUGUUUGCUUAGAUACAGCCCCAGAUUUUUACUCCUAAACUAUUUAGUAUGUAUAACAUCAUAGUGCUUGAUUUUCCUUCUUAACAGUAACUUUCCAAAUCUUGUUCCACCUGCUCCCUUCUUUUGAGAGUUUGCAAUAUCUCCUUUCUCUCUCUACCAACUUGGGGAGAUUAAAGUUGCGGAACACUUACUAGAUUGGUCUGAGAUGGUCAGUAGGAUUUGACAAUUACAUAAAUUUAGAAAACCUCUGAAAUAGAAGCUCUAUUUCAAAAAGCAGUUUUUGAGAAUAAUUGAAUCCACAUCUCAGAUAAAUUUAAUAAGGAUGAUUUAACCUAGUCAUAAUUCAUAACAGAAGUUAUGCUUCUAAAAAUAAGCUACACACAUGGGAAUUCUCCUUGGCCAUACACAGAGGGGUAGCAGUGUAUUUCUGUGUCUCUUUCCCCCAGUCAUGAUCCCUUAGCUGUGUUGUUCUUUUCCUUAGUAGAAGGUACUUGAAAUGUCAUUACCUGUGUUCCCAUGUGUCUUCCAAAAGGCUGACAAAAUCCCUCCGUGUAUGGCCUGUGUCCCACUGUGUCCAUUUCUCAUACAGCUUAGCUCACCUCACCCGUAUACUACUGCCCUUCUGCAUUUUUCUGUUUUAUCUUGUCUCUGUUUUUUAUGCUGCAUUCAGCUUUUGUUCACAUUGCGGUGUCCUCUCUCUGCACCCUCUUUCCUUCUGCUUCAGCUCUCAGCCAUCUUGGAGAGACUAUUUACCUUUGGGAAAUGAUUUUAUUUUGCCACCAGAAAAACCAACCCCCUCCCCAAGUGCUUCUCUUCUAAUACAGUCUGGAUCUUGGGAACAGGAAACAGUAAGUAGUUUUUCUUCAUUCCAGAACAUCCUGGGCCAUAGCUACACAGCAGGGAUCAAAGCAGGCACACAUCAAAAGCACCCCAACUGAGAGGAGCAGCCCUGAAGCUUCAGUGCCUUAGGCUCUUGUUAUCAUCUCUGCCUGUGAGUCAUGUGUAUCUCAUCUUUCCCCGUCUGCUGUUCCUUCUCUAGGCUCAGCAAAGAAAGCUGCUCUUUACCAAACUUUCUUAACUCAAGAUAAAAACUCCUUCCAUUUUUCCCUCCUUCUUCCUCUUAUAAUUACUAUAGUUAAGUAAUUUCAGUGAUACUCACUUAUACAUCUGACAUUUCUUAAGCCCUUUUUGUAUGCCAGAUACUAUGCUGAGUGAUGAGGCUUUUUAAAAAAUGAAUGGUACAGUCCCUACUCUCAAGGAGCUGUUGACUAAUGGAGCAAAGCAACCAACACAUAAAUGAAUAGUUCUAAUAUAGUGUGAUCAAGUCCAUAGUAGAGGCAGGCAAAAGAUCUUUUGGAAGUAAAUGGGAAGGGCACCAUUUCUCAGUAAGAUGAUGCCUUGGAUGAGUGUUUUGCCAGGCAGAGGGUUCAGGGAUGUAGGGAUAGGGUAUGAGUGGUGAGGGUAGUCUAGACAUACACCCUAGGGAGCAAAUCAUGCGUGAGAAAUAGCAGAUGUGUUCUUGAGGGCGGGGUAAUAGAAGCAGAUCAGGAUUGCUGAGCUAUGUAUUUGAGGCAGGGAGUUAAUGGAGAUACUGCUUUAAAGAACAUCAUAAAAUUUUAUCUAACAUGUAUUUAAGAACUUGAUCUUUUGAAGGUGAACCUUACUAAAAUGUAACUUCCUUAUGUUCGGUUGAAUAACAGCCCACCAAAUAAGCUCAUGUCCUAAUACCAAAAUUUGUGAUUAUAAUACCUUAUAUGAUAAAGUAAAAAUACUUUGCAGAUAUGAUUGAAAUAAGGAUCUUGGAAUUUAGAGGUUAUCCUGAAUUAUCUGUGUAGAUUCAAUAUAAUCACAAGAAUCCUUAUAAAAGAAAGAUGGGAAGAUCAGAGACAAGAGAGUGAUGUGCAGAUGGAAGCAGAAGACACAGAAGAGGCUGUGCCGCUGGCUUCAAGAUUCAGGAAGAAGCCACAAGCCAACAAAUAUACGUGGCUUCUAAAAGCUGGAAAAGGCAAGGAAACAGAUUCUCUCCUAGAGGCUUCAGGAGGAAAGUGACUCUGUGAAACCCAUUUAGACUUCUGACCUCCAGAAACAUAAGAAAAUAAGUUUGUAUUGUUUUAGUCAUUAAGAGUGUGGAAAUGAACAGCAGGAAAUCAAUAUACUCCUUGAAAGCAAAAGUUUUUGGUUUAUUGCUGCUCUGUCUUGAACAGUACCAGAAGACACCACCCCAAAAUAUGCCUCUUUAGCAUAUGCCUUAUUUUGAGAUAAAGGCUAGUAGAACCAGAACACCUAGGAAAACUCCAAUAUCAGGGCACAAGUUUCCCUUUGGUAAAGGAAUUUUACAUGUAUGAAGGAAAUUUCCAUUUGUCAAUCUGUCUUCCUUUCCAGUACCAGAAAGAGGAUGACUUUUAACAACUCAUUCAGAAGUGUGAAUGUAACAGGUCAAAAUGAUUUUUAAGACAAACAUUCUGGAGUUCGUGUCGUGGCGCAGUGGUUAACGAAUCCGACUAGGAACCAUGAGGUUGAGGGUUUGAUCCUUGCCCUUGCUCAGUGGGUUAACGAUCCAGCGUUGCCGUGAGCUGUGGUGUAGGUUGCAGAUGCGGCUCGGAUCCCGCGUUGCUGUGGCUCUGGUGUAUGCUGGCAGCUACAGCUCCGAUUAGACCCCUAGCCUGGGAACCUCCAUAUGCCACGGGAGCGGCCCAAGAAAUGGCAAAAAGACAGAAAAAAAAAAUUCUAAGAAUAAUUGCCUCAACUGCACACAACCUGGGCAGAUAUGAUCAACUUAGCUAAAGAAUGAUCAUAAGGGAGUUCCCGUCUUGGCUCAGUGGUUAACGAACCCGACUAGCAUCCAUGAGGAUAGGAGUUCCAUCCCUGGCCUCACUUAGUGGGUUAAGGAUCUGGCAUUGCCAUGACCUAUGAUGUGGGUCACAGGCUCAGCUCAGAUUCCGCUUUCCUGUGGUUCUGGCAUAGGCCGGUGGCUACAGCUCCAGUUGGACCCCUAGCCUGGGAACCUAUGUAUGCCGUGAGUGCGGCCCUAAAAAGAC
rnacentral:lncRNA from 1 species